ACUCCUACGGGAGGCAGCAGUAGGGAAUCUUCCACAAUGGGCGCAAGCCUGAUGGAGCAACACCGCGUGAGUGAAGAAGGGUUUCGGCUCGUAAAGCUCUGUUGUUAAAGAAGAACACGUAUGAGAGUAACUGUUCAUACGUUGACGGUAUUUAACCAGAAAGUCACGGCUAACUACGUGCCAGCAGCCGCGGUAAUACGUAGGUGGCAAGCGUUAUCCGGAUUUAUUAGGCGUAAAGAGAGUGCAGGCGGUUUUCUAAGUCUGAUGUGAAAGCCUUCGGCUUAACCGGAGAAGUGCAUCGGAAACUGGAUAACUUGAGUGCAGAAGAGGGUAGUGGAACUCCAUGUGUAGCGGUGGAAUGCGUAGAUAUAUGGAAGAACACCAGUGGCGAAGGCGGCUACCUGGUCUGCAACUGACGCUGAGACUCGAAAGCAUGGGUAGCGAACAGGAUUAGAUACCCUGGUAGGAUAGCG
rnacentral:rRNA from 1 species